GAAAAGCAAAGUAAGCAACAACCAUCACAAGGACAAAGAGCCACAUAGCAGGCUUAACUGGUUGAGAAGAAUCAUAUCCACUUCCACCAGCGGCAGCACCAGUUGUGGGAAGCUGAGGGCCAUCUUCAGUCUAAAAUAUGUUAGAGUGUCGAAGCAAAUUUUUACAAAAAUUUUAACGAGCCUAUGGCGAACGAAGAGAAAAAAUAAAUGACAUACUCUGAGCAAGUUUCCAAUGUAAAAUUUUUCGAGCAACUCCUGAGCAUCCUCAGAGUGACCAACAUCCUCGAAAGGACCGCUAGCAUCACGACCUAAAACAAGUUAAUAAUCACAGAAACGAACAAAAAAAAGCCCCUAGCGAUGGUAGAGAAAGGCAGAAACUUUGUAUAGCCAAUCCAAAAGCCGUAUGUGAAGAAUCGAAGCGAUAUCGUCAAUCAAUCUUUCCAAAAUUAUGUAUUUCAGUGUAUUCAGAGUACUGGAAAUACAAAACAUCGAGUAGAGAGCGAUCAAUCUUGGAACAUAUAGACUGUACUUAACAAUUCACCUUCAAUGACAAUGUCGCAUUAAACAUCGUAUUUAUUCAGGAUAUCGCAUCUAUUUUUGUACGUUCCUACGGCAAAGAUUCGUCCUGAAUCUUUCAAAUUAAAGAACAUGUGUAUAUGCGACACCUAAACUCUCGUGAAAUUCAAAGUUUUGUAACGCUAGUUGUCUGAAACUUCGAUUUCUACGACUCCACACAAUCGCGACCAAUUUUUAUGCAUUACAACCAAUCUUCCUCAAGACCUCCAUUAUCGCGUACCCCUAAAAAUUUACUUACCGGCCAAAUCAACAAGAACCUCUUCACCACCAGGGUGAGCGUCAAGGAACUUGGAAAUAUCAUACACCUUG